rnacentral:rRNA from 1 species
CAACUUUCAGCAACGGAUCUCUUGGCUCUCGCAUCGAUGAAGAACGCAGCGAAAUGCGAUAAGUAAUGUGAAUUGCAGAAUUCAGUGAAUCAUCGAAUCUUUGAACGCACCUUGCGCUCCUUUAUUACGAGGAGCAUGCCUGUUUGAGUGUCAUUA